rnacentral:rRNA from 1 species
AACGAACGCUGGCGGCAGGCUUAACACAUGCAAGUCGAACGCACCGCAAGGUGAGUGGCAGACGGGUGAGUAACACGUGGGAACGUACCCCUUUGUUCGGAAUAACCCUGGGAAACUAGGGCUAAUACCGGAUACGGCCGGAAGGCGAAAGGUUUACCGCAGAGGGAUCGGCCCGCGUCCGAUUAGCUUGUUGGUGAGGUAAUGGCUCACCAAGGCAUCGAUCGGUAGCUGGUCUGAGAGGANGGCCAGCCACAUUGGGACUGAGACACGGCCCAAACUCCUACGGGAGGCAGCAGUGGGGAAUAUUGGACAAUGGGCGCAAGCCUGAUCCAGCCAUGCCGCGUGAGUGAUGACGGCC